GUCUGCGUCUGUUUCACAUUUGAAUGCGACAGGAAAGGGAACUAGCUUUGGAGCAUGCGCUCAUUUGGGGAACCAGAGAUAUUGCUUAUGAAGAAAGGGAUACCGUUUCUGCUUGACCACGAAGCUCCUCACCACAUGGGACAGAGACUUUGCUGCGCCAAAAGAUGGCUAACACGAUCCGGAGCUGUCGGUUAAGGCCAGCACUAAACCUGGACAACACUGCAGCAUUGUACACAGAUAAAUUGUAUUACACCACAAGCACUAUAGCACUCACUCUGGACUUGUGAGUGUGUGUGUCUUUGUGUGUGUUCUACUGUGUUUAUUAUUUACAAACUGUGUCUUAUUAUUUCAGGACUGCAACUCGUUGUUUUGGAACAGUGCAAUACACAUUGCUGUGUAUUGCCUGGGAUUAUUCACCAGACCAGGAUUAUAAAAAUAAAACCUGUUUGGAUCAUGAA